GUGUGUGAAGAAGGCCUUCGGGUUGUAAAGCACUUUAAGCAGGGAGAAAAAGUUAUAAGUUAAUACCUUAUAACCGUGAUGUUACCUGCAGAAUAAGCACCGGCUAAUUCCGUGCCAGCAGCCGCGGUAAUACGGAAGGUGCAAGCGUUAAUCGGAAUUACUGGGCGUAAAGCGCGCGUAGGUGGUUUGUUAAGUUGGAUGUGAAAGCCCUGGGCUCAACCUAGGAACUGCAUCCAAAACUAACUCACUAGAGUACGAUAGAGGGAGGUAGAAUUCAUAGUGUAGCGGUGGAAUGCGUAGAUAUUAUGAAGAAUACCAGUGGCGAAGGCGGCCUCCUGGAUCUGUACUGACACUGAGGUGCGAAAGCGUGGGUAGCGAACAGGAUUAGAUACCCUGGUAGUCCACGCCGUAAACGAUGACAACUAGCUGUUGGAAGACAAUGUCUUUCAGUGGCGCAGCUAACGUUUUAAGUUGUCCGCCUGGGGAGUACGGCCGCAAGGCUAAAACUCAAAUGAAUUGACGGGGACCCGCACAAGCGGUGGAGCAUGUGGUUUAAUUCGAUGCAACGCGAAAAACCUUACCUACUCUUGACAUACUUGGGAGCUCUUGUAAUGAGAGUGUGCCUUUUGGAACCAAGAUACAGGUGCUGCAUGGCUGUCGUCAGCUCGUGUCGUGAGAUGUUCCGUUAAGUCGGAUAACGAGCGCAACCCUUACCCUUAUUUGCCAGCGAUUCGGUCGGGAACUAUAAGGGGACUGCCGGUGAUAAACCGGAGGAAGGUGAGGACGACGUCAAGUCAUCAUGGCCCUUACGAGUAGGGCUACACACGUGCUACAAUGGGGAAUACAGACGGACGCUAAGCCGCGAGGU
rnacentral:rRNA from 1 species